UACGUAGGGUGCAAGCGUUGUCCGGAAUUAUUGGGCGUAAAGAGCUCGUAGGCGGUUUGUUGCGUCGGCUGUGAAAUCCCGAGGCUCAACCGGGGAACUGCGUCUGAUACUGGAUGGCUUGAGUUUGGGAGAGGGAUGCGGAAUUCCAGGUGUAGCGGUGAAAUGCGUAGAUAUCUGGAGGAACACCGGUGGCGAAGGCGGCAUCCUGGACCAACACUGACACUGAGGAGCGAAAGCCAGGGGAGCAAACGGG
rnacentral:rRNA from 1 species